rnacentral:rRNA from 1 species
UACGGGGGGGGCAAGCGUUGUUCGGAAUUACUGGGCGUAAAGGGUUCGUAGGCGGCCAACUAAGUCAGACGUGAAAUCCCUCGGCUUAACCGGGGAACUGCGUCUGAUACUGGAUGGCUUGAGUUUGGGAGAGGGAUGCGGAAUUCCAGGUGUAGCGGUGAAAUGCGUAGAUAUCUGGAGGAACACCGGUGGCGAAGGCGGCAUCCUGGACCAACACUGACGCUGAGUGAGCGAAAGCCAGGGGAGCAAACGGG